AGAUGCUGGGAGCUGACUUCCCUUAGAAGGUGGAACUGCAUGGGCUCACAGUCACAAGGUUUCUAAAUGCACACAAGGUUACAAAGAGAGCUGGAGCCAAGUUUUUCAUCUGAGCCUGAAAGGCAAGGUUUUACAGUGAUGAAUGUUUUUUUGUUCCAGUUUGUACUAGUAUGUAGAGUCUGAAAGUGCAGCAGAAGACAUGACCUGCUUUUUAAGGGCUACUGGCAAAAUGCCUAGUGAGAAAAGGAGAAUACAAAAAACCUUUGCAACUCUAGGUAACUCUGUCCAUGUUUGAUUAUUUCAUUUUCCAAUGGCAAUGUCCCAGCUGUGUACCAGUGUCUUUGCAGCUUAUAUCUGGGCUAAAACAACCCUGCGCUUGAUGGAUCAGCUGGCACCACCCAGACAGAAAAACUCACUCAUUUGAUCUCGUGGCCACCACCCAGGAACUGACUGCGCAAGAGGACAGCUUGGACUCACUAUGAUUUCACCUCCGAACCAACCAAUCAUCACUUCUGACUCACUGGCGGCACACCCACCCACCACAUUAUCCUUAAAAACUCUGGUCCCCAAGUGCUGGGGAGACUGAUUUGAGUAACAGUAAAACUGGUCUACCACACAGCCAGCUGUGUGGCUUACUCUUUCUCUAUUGCAAUUCCCCUGUCUUGAUAAAUCAGCUCUGUCUAGGCAGGGGGCAAGGUGAACCCAUUGGGCAGUUACACUAUUACUGCCAAGAUCUAUAUACAUGUCCCCUAGAUCCUGGUACUAAGACAGGGUACUAGAUCCUGGUCCUGACACUGAGUUGUCAGACGGUUGAAGUUUCUAUACUAUCUUAAGGUUACAGAAAGAAUACAGGAGUGGGCUUGUGAGGGGUUGCGGGGUGGCAUGAGGCAUGGGGUGGGUGGCUUCACAAGCUAUGGGAGAGUGAAAGAUGGAAAGCACGGAAAGCCAAGGCUGUCUUGGAAUGCAGAUAAAGACCUCUCAGGUACUCUGAGAGCUGCUCUCGAAAAAAUUGAUGGUGGUAGCCUGUGGUAAAGUUUAUCUGUCAAAACUUAAAAGUGUCAGACUUCAGUCCCCUUUCCCUAUGAGUUCAUCUUUCCUAGAUCCAGAUAAGGAGGGCCUCAGAGAAAGCCUGCCUGUUUACUUCACUAAUGUAGAUUUUUCUCUACAGAUGUAAAUCUCCACCACAAAAGACAGCUUUUCAGAGCUAUUCUUGUGUUUGCAACUCCUCUGAACAACCAUCUCAAAAUAUGCCAAAGAGGUAUAUUUUGUGGUGAAAUAUUCUGGUUUCCUUUAUCUCUUUUUAUCAGGGAAGAGAAUAAAUCACAUGAUAGAAUUUAAUUAAUUAGGCCAGGUGCGGUGGCUCGUGCCUGUAAUCCCAGCACUUUGGGAGGCUGAGGCAGGAGGUUCCCUUGAGGUUGGGAGUUCCAGACCAGCCUGGCCAACAUGGGGAAAACCCGUCUCUACCAAAAAUACAAAAAUUAGCUGGGCAUGGUGGCGGGCACCUGUAAUCCCAGCUACUCAGGAGGCUGAGGCAGGAGAAUCACUUGAACCCGGGAAGGCAGAGGUUGCAGUGAGCUGAGAUCAUGCCACUGUACUCCAGCCUGGGCAACAGAGCGAGAUCCUAUCUCCAAAAAAAAAAAAAAACAAAUUGAUUAUAUAGUGUUUUCCAGUUGUGUUUUUUUUAAUCUCCCAGGGAUAAUCUUAGUACAUUAAAAAGGCAAAUAAUACAUGUAUCCAUUUUAUCACAUUGCUAGCAUCAAUAAGAACUAUUUUGCUACAAGACCAGCCAUCAAAAUCAAAAAAAAAUUUAGGCACAGACACGAUUUCCCUGACUAAUAUGUUCACUCUUACUGGAAGAUGUCAAGAGCAAACAUUUAACAAAUGUACGGCAUGCUUUAGCCCUUUUAGUCCUUCCCUUGACAGCCUGUCCUGAUUUUCCCACCCAAUCUCCACUUGUUCUGACACUGACUGGCUGAAAUUGAUUCAUUAAAUAAAUAUUUAUCAGGCACUUACUAUGUAUCAGGCACCAUUAUAGCAUCUUGGUAUAUAAUCUGAUACAGACAAAGACCUUGGCUUUCAUUGAAACUUUCAUUUUAGUGCCCUGAGAAAACACUUUGAUUGGUGUUCAUCUUCCUCUUAACAAAAGUAGUUUGUGGAUCACAAAAGUGGAAUGAAAGC
rnacentral:lncRNA from 10 species